rnacentral:misc_RNA from 1 species
AUCUUCCCAUAAUUGCCAAAAGCAUCGCCCAUAAGACCUCCAUAAGAAACUGAAUUUGAAGUCCUACUAAACCUGAUUAACAACUCAAUUGAAGCUUCUGUGAGGAAAGCCAUCAAGAUGAUCAUAAUAAUCCCAGGAAUGAGUCCCAACACCUUCAUAAUUGCAGGUAAGGCCAUGAUACCAGCACCGACAAUUGUAGUCGACAAAUUAAAUACAGCCCCACUAUAUGAAGCCCCAUUGAACUCAUCGAAUCCGCCAUCUUUCUGAUGCUUUGUAGGCAAUAAUGGCGAUUGGUCAUCUACUACUGGCUGUUUG